rnacentral:rRNA from 1 species
AGGUGUGAGUAGAGUGGCGGACGGGUGAGUAACGCGUGGGAAUCUACCCAGUAGUGGGGGACAACUACCGGAAACGGUAGCUAAUACCGCAUACGCCCUAUGGGGGAAAGGCUUCGGCCGCUAUUGGAUGAGCCCGCGUCAGAUUAGCUAGUUGGUAGGGUAACGGCUCACCAAGGCGACGACGGGUAGCCGGCCUGAGAGGGUGACCGGCCACACUGGGACUGAGACACGGCCCAGACCCCUACGGGUGGCAGCAGUGGGGAAUAUUGCACAAUGGGCGCAAGCCUGAUGCAGCAACGCCGCGUGGGGGACGAAGGCCUUCGGGUUGUAAACCUCUUUUAGUAGGGAAGAAGCGCAAGUGACGGUACCUACAGAAAAAGCACCGGCUAACCACGUGCCAGCAGCCGCGGUAAUACGUAGGGUGCAAGCGUUGUCCGGAAUUAUUGGGCGUAAAGAGCUCGUAGGCGGUUUGUCGCGUCUGCUGUGAAAAUCCGAGGCUCAACCUCGGACCUGCAGUGGGUACGGGCAAACUAGAGUGCGGUAGGGGAGAUUGGAAUUCCUGGUGUAGCGGUGGAAUGCGCAGAUAUCUGGAGGAACAUCAGUGGCGAAGGCGCCUUCCUGGCUUAAAACUGACGCUGAGGCGCGAAAGCGUGGGGAGCA